rnacentral:rRNA from 1 species
CGGGGUGCAGCAGGCGCGAAAACUCUACAAUGCAGGCAACUGCGAUAGGGGAACAUCGAGUGAUCCUCAUAUUGGGGGUCUGUCCACCCGUCUAAAAAACGGGUGUUAGCAAGGGCCGGGCAAGACCGGUGCCAGCCGCCGCGGUAAUACCGGCGGCUCGAGUGGUGGCCGAUAUUAUUGAGUCUAAAGGGUCCGUAGCCGGCUUUGCAAGUCUCUCGGGAAAUCCAGCGGCUUAACCGUUGGUCGUCCGGGGGGUACUACAUUGCUUGGGACUGGGAGAGGUAGGAGGUACUCAGGGGGUAGGAGUGAAAUCCUGUAAUCCUUUGGGGACCACCGGUGGCGAAGGCGUCCUACCAGAACAGGUCCGACGGUGAGGGACGAAAGCUAGGGGCACGAACCGGAUUAGAUACCCGGGUAGUCCUAGCCGUAAACGAUGCUCGCUAGGUGUCACAACAGUCGUGAACUGUUGUGGUGCCGUAGGGAAGCCGUGAAGCGAGCCACUUGGGAAGUACGACCGCAAGGUUAAACUUAAAGGAAUUGGCGGGGGAGCACAAGGGCGAAUUCGCG